AGCGUAUAUUAAAGUUGUUGCAGUUAAAAAGCUCGUAGUUGAAUUUCGGGGUUAGUAGGUUGGUCAUGCCUCUGGUAUGUACUGGUCUCACUGAUUCCUCCUUCCUGAUGAGCCGUAAUGCCAUUAAUUUGGUGUUGCGGGGAAUUUGGACUGUUACUUUGAAAAAAUUAGAGUGUUUAAAGCAAGCUAACGCUUGAAUACAUUAGCAUGGAAUAAUGAAGUAGGACGUUCGAUCCUAUUUUGUUGGUUUCUAGGAUUGACGUAAUGAUUAAUAGGGAUAGUUGGGGGCAUUAGUAUUCAAUUGUCAGAGGUGAAAUUCUUGGAUUUAUUGAAGUCUAACUACUGCGAAAGCAUUUGCCAAGGAUGUUUUCAUUAAUCAAGAACGAAAGUUAGGGGAUCGAAGACGAUCAGAUACCGUCGUAGUCUUAACCAUAAACUAUGCCGACUAGGGAUCGGAUGAUGUUAAUUUUUUAAUGACUCAUUC
rnacentral:rRNA from 1 species